UAAGAGCUUGCUCUUAUGAAGUUAGCGGCGGAGGGUGAAUAACACGUGGGUAACCUGCCCAUAAGACUGGGAUAACUCCGGGAAACCGGGGCUAAUACCGGAUAACAUUUUGAACCGCAUGGUUCGAAAUUGAAAGGCGGCUUCGGCUGUCACUUAUGGAUGGACCCGCGUCGCAUUAGCUAGUUGGUGAGGUAACGGCUCACCAAGGCAACGAUGCGUAGCCGACCUGAGAGGGUGAUCGGCCACACUGGGACUGAGACACGGCCCAGACUCCUACGGGAGGCAGCAGUAGGGAAUCUUCCGCAAUGGACGAAAGUCUGACGGAGCAACGCCGCGUGAGUGAUGAAGGCUUUCGGGUCGUAAAACUCUGUUGUUAGGGAAGAACAAGUGCUAGUUGAAUAAGCUGGCACCUUGACGGUACCUAACCAGAAAGCCACGGCUAACUACGUGCCAGCAGCCGCGGUAAUACGUAGGUGGCAAGCGUUAUCCGGAAUUAUUGGGCGUAAAGCGCGCGCAGGUGGUUUCUUAAGUCUGAUGUGAAAGCCCACGGCUCAACCGUGGAGGGUCAUUGGAAACUGGGAGACUUGAGUGCAGAAGAGGAAAGUGGAUUUCCAUGUGUAGCGGUGAAAUGCGUUAGAGAUAUGGGAGAGAACACCAGUUGCGAAGGCGACUUUCUGGUCCUGUAACUGACACUGAAGGCGCGAAAAGCGUUGGGG
rnacentral:rRNA from 1 species